CACUGACUGCCAAAAACCACCUUCUACCUCUAAAAUUAGGUCUACCAAAAGAGCUGCAACAGUAAAGAUCUAAUGAGAACCCAUGUGCGCUGGGUGUGGUCUAGAAGGAGUAUUUACGUCUAAGCAGGAGCUGAUUGCCCUGUGUGGAGGGGGGGUAAAGACUAACGCAGAAAAAGUGGGAAAAACGGGAACCUUAGAUGUCACUGGAUCUGUUUUGUCUGCCAGAACCCAUCUCCAUCACUGCCACAUCAGCUGGUACCAAGGUUGUGAGGUCGUCCAAACAUCUGGCCCCUCCGCCAUGUUUAUGAGAAAGGGGUAGUGUUGCCAAAGGACAACUUGGUAUGUGAUGGAGAAGCUAGACUGACUACCUUCACCUUGGCAUCCCAGAGCCACAACAGCAGCCCAGAAAAGCAUCCCAACACCAUGAUGCUGCCACCGACAUGCUCCACUGAGGAGAUCGGCGUGUCCAGAGGGCAGGAGAGCCUCCAUAAGAAGACAGGAGAUGGACCCAGACGGCUCUCCAGGGGGAGCAGCACAUCCACGAACAUGCUCGAUGGCAGCUUUAUGGAUUUCAUUCAACUUAAAGAUUUUUUUUCUUGCUAUCAGCAGAGGCCAGACUCUCUUGCGGUUGAGUUUGGAUUUUCAUGGUGUUUGCGACAAGGGGCGAGGUGUAAUAAUCAUGAUAUGGCAAACAUAGGAGGCGCUGUUUUUGGCUACAUUAACAACUGGAGUUUAAAGAAAUGAUGCAGAUGCAGAUGAUGGUUAUGGCUUCAUACAGAGACGCAGCAACAAACUGUUUCUUUGUCACAACAUUUCCUCCAGCCUAUUCGGUGGGAAAUGAUCUUAAAUUUAAAGUGUCUCUGAACAUAAAACGAGUGCUGAGUGCUUAUUUUGAACACAUUUUAAGAAAACCGCUUCUUAAAAAUGGAUGAAUGGAUGGCUCCUCCAUCCAUCCACCCAUCCAUCCAUCCAUCCUCCAGUCAUUUAUUAGAUGACACUCAGACUCGUGAAAUUAUUUUAUUCUGUCAAAGCACUCCGAACUGAAACUGUAACAAAUUAGAUGAAUUUGGAAUGUCUUCGCUACUUUUCAAAUCUGCUCCGCGCAUUUAUGCAGAAUUAUAUUUCCUCGGGUUGAUAUUUAGCUCUCUGCUAGCCGCCUGCUGUGGUAGAAGAUUUUGUCGGGGCCACAUUUUCCGACCUUUUGAUAUUAAUUUAAUGUGACAUUGGUCUUAAGCAGCUCUGCUCAAGUAUGCUCCCUGCAUGUACACAGCGGGGUUAUUACUGCUUUGAUGCACUUGAAUUUUAGGGACAUAUUACAGGGCGAAAAUGAUGAGAAAAUGACGUAAAAUAAUUACAUUUCUAAGAAAAGGAUUCGACCAGCAUUUAUGUUUACUUUAUAAAUUCUGGUGAAUUAUUUCACAAAUUUCAGCUGGAAUGUGUUCACCCCUGGUGUCUUAGUGUUGGCGCAUCUUGUUAAUCUGAUUUGCUCGAACAAAACAAGCCAUUGAAGGUUACAUGCGAGCGAACGCCGAUGUGUAGACUUUGCGCAGUCUGAAUCCCGCACUGCACGAUUUCCGCUUCCACGCCGGCUGCAGGCGAGCGAAACAAAAGGCUGCAGAUUUCAGCACCACAGAAGGUGGACAGCGCUGCUGGCAGCCUGUGUUGGGAUGGAAGGCUCCUAUUGCUCUAUUGGACACACACACACACACACACACACACACCCCACCACCACACGCUAGGAACAUGUAUGCUCAGAUGGAACCAGAACUUCCGCAUAUGCAAUUACUUUAUUGUUUUAAAAAAAACACAGGCAGUACAUAAAUUAUAAACUUUAAAAAAAAAAAAUACAGUUCAAUGAGUUCAUGGUGUCCGUGAUGUCGUUUCGAAGAGAGGAGGAUCAUCUCUUGGCAUUCACCGCGUGCCUUAAUUGUAAGACAUUAAAUCAAGGUCCGCUGUGAACACGGAGAGACGCAACCCGCUGCUCGGAGAGACGUUUGCACAGAAACAUACGAGUGCUGUCUCUCUGUUUCAGGAAAAACAAAGACAACUGGAAGAAACCUCUUUUUGCGCCUGUAACCUUAAUAUUCUGCAGCCGCCCUGGCCUGCAGACCGAAAACGAGGGGGGAAAGCUCUUUUUUUCUUCUUCUUUUAGCAAAGAUCUGCCUGUAUUCAUGCAUUUACCUAAGUAGGUGAGGUUACAAGGCAAAUAAGACAGCUUUGAGGACAAAUUAUUAACCGUCCCAGGCAGCUUUUGCAGAUGAGCAAAGGACUCCGUAUGCAGUGUCCAAAGCAGCAGACAGCAUAGAUGUCCUCCAUUAUUCCAUAAUGUAACCUACGGGGAUGAAGACAAAAAAAACAAACAAAAUGCGCCAUGAGCCUCAAAAAUUAAGUGCAAGUAUUCCACAUUCACAACUUAGAAACAAGUCCACAAAAAAUGAAAAAGAAAAA